UGUUAUGGGGAUUGCACCCACACGGUUC
rnacentral:piRNA from 1 species